rnacentral:rRNA from 1 species
UCUAUGGCCAUACCAUCCUGAACAUGCCUGAUCUCGUCUGAUCUCAGAAGCUAAGCAGAGUUGGUCCUGGUUAGUAUUUGGAUGGGAGAAAAACAAUGAAUGAUAUAAGAU